rnacentral:rRNA from 1 species
CACGUAGGGGCGAGCGUUGUCCGGAUUCAUUGGGCGUAAAGGGCGCGUAGGCGGCCUACUAAGUCAGACGUGAAAUCCCCCGGCUUAACCUGGGAACUGCGUCUGAUACUGGAAGGCUUGAGGAUGGGAGAGGGAUGUAGAAUUCCAGGUGUAGCGGUGAAAAUGCGUAGAUAUCUGGAGGAAUACCGGUGGCGAAGGCGGCAUCCUGGACCAUUACUGACGCUGAGGCGCGAAAAGCUAGGGGAGCAAACGGGG